rnacentral:lncRNA from 7 species
CUUUCUGAUCUAGUACCUCCGCAACCAGAGGCUGAGGUACUGAAUUGCCAAAGGCCUCCAAAAGUUAUUUUGCAGACACGUCCCUGGGCUGAAGAUUACUUGAGAUAAUAGCUGUUUCUCUAUGGGCCUCUUUUUCAUCUUUGAAAGUAUUCUCGGCAUACUUCAUGGGCAGCUCCCUGCGCUCCAGACAAGCAGCUGAUGACUAUGCUGUUUACUCACUGGGUCCUCUAUUUUUUGCAGUCAUUUCAAGGCUCAGGAAUUACACUAACUAAGAUUGGGAAUGCCAUGAUUUCAAACAAACCAGUAAAUACAUGUUUUUUUCCUAGACAAGCAGUGAAGUGUGCAGCUGAAGUGCAGGAGGAACUGAGGGGUUUUAACUUGGAGGGAUUGGGGUAUCAGAAAGGGAGUACUGCAAAGCUCUCAGCUAAGAUCCGCUUGAAUAAGCAGCUACAUUUCUUGGUGCUUAUCCAAGUACUUACCAUUUCUGUGGAAAAUCAGAGCAGCAUCUGGGGAGAUAUCUCAGUCCAGCUUACCAAGCAGCAGCAGUGUUCGCUGGACCGGACGCUGGCAUGGCGCUCUGAAGACCUGGUGUCAACUGUCAUCAGCCCAGGCACAUAAAGGAGCUUUGGAUAAGUCCUUUCACCUCUCUGUUUAUGGAAUCUUUGCAUAUUUGGCAUUGAUUUUCAAAGCUUCUAUAAAUUAAGAGCAUUCACUUCCGUAUGUUUU